GAUGAAGAACGUAGUGAAACGCGAUAGUUAAUGUGAAUUGCAGAAUUCAGUGAAUCAUCGAGUCUUUGAACGCACAUUGCGCCCAUUGGUAUUCCGUUGGGCAUGUCUGUCUGAGCGUCAUUACAACAGUUCAGCGUAAGCUGGUUAUGAGUUCUGUUUUUUUAAACAAAAAACAGGCUUUAAAAUGUAUGUUCUGCAGGUCGCUUUGCUAAACCCUAAACAUUAAAUACUGUUCUAGUGAAGCAAUUGCGACUCUGCCUGAAAAAAAACUUUUGUUAAAGUUUGACCUCAGAUCAGACAAGGAUACCCGCUGAACUUAAGCAUAUCAAUAAGCGGAGGA
rnacentral:misc_RNA from 1 species